AUCCAUCUGACGAGUCCCAAAUAGGAUGGAACACGUGUCUUGGAU
rnacentral:hammerhead_ribozyme from 1 species